rnacentral:ncRNA from 1 species
UUCUUCGAGGCGGGGUGAAAUUCCCCACCGGCGGUAAAGUCCGCAAGCCAUUAGGCACGAUUCGGUGAAAUUCCGAAACCGACGGUAUAGUCCGGAUGUGAGAAGAA